GCAAGGUGAGGAGGACUGAUCUAGAAACAUUCUCCCUUGCCGAGUCAAACACUGAGGGCAUCCAAGGAACCUUCUAACUUGGGUUUUAAACGAGCUUUAGAAGUUAAUACAACUGCCAUUGACUGGAUUCGACACCUAAACCCCAGCCCUUGCCCUGGACAAGACGCAAGGGACCCUGGCCUUGAGUAGAACCCGCAAAGAAUGUGCUCCUACCGCCUCCAGAAGCUAAUCACCCACACCUGUGUCCAGCGUGAGGUCGUGCCCUCAUCACUCCCAAGUUCUGCACCUGUAACUGAUUUGCAUUUUUGGUAAAAAGAGAUGGAAGCCAAGCUCCCUAGCAGGAGCUCGCUCUCAUGGUUUGCAUUACAGUGUGAGUUACUAGAGGGAGGCGACGCCCGCCGAGCUCCAGGGCGCCAACAGGUGAGCGCCAGCAGCUGGGAAGUGAAACACCGAGACCCAGAGCAUCCAGUACUAAUACGGGGCCCAAGUUAGACGGCAA
rnacentral:lncRNA from 13 species